AUUGAACGCUGGCGGCAUGCCUUACACAUGCAGGUCGAACGGCAGCGGGGACUUCGGUCUGCCGGCGAGUGGCGAACGGGUGAGUAAUGUAUCGGAACGUACCAUUCAGUGGGGGAUAACUAUCCGAAAGGAUAGCUAAUACCGCAUAUUCUGUGAGCAGGAAAGCAGGGGAUCGCAAGACCUUGCGCUGAUUGAGCGGCCGAUAUCAGAUUAGAUAGUUGGUGAGGUAACGGCUCACCAAGGCUACGAUCUGUAGCGGGUCUGAGAGGAUGAUCCGCCACACUUGGAAUGAGACACGGCCCAGACUCCUACUGGAGGCCGCAGUGGGGAAUUUUGGACAAUGGGCGCAAGCCUGAACCAGCCAUGCCGCGUGAGUGAAGAAGGCCUUCGGGUUGUAAAGCUCUUUCGGCCGGGAAGAAAUCGCAUCAGCUAAUACCUGGUGUGGAUGACGGUACCGGAAUAAGAAGCACCGGCUAACUACGUGCCAGCAGCCGCGGUAAAAC
rnacentral:rRNA from 1 species